GGUUGUGGCUCAGUGGUAGAGUUCUUGCCUCACAUGCAUGAGGCACUGGGUUUGAUCCUCAAAACCA
rnacentral:tRNA from 1 species